UAUGCCGUUUAGGGUAACACCCGUUCCCAUUCCGAACACGAUGGUUAAGCCUUCAUGGGUCGAUGGUACUGCAUGCGCGAGCGUGUGGGAGAGUAGAUUGACGCU
rnacentral:rRNA from 1 species